AGAAACAAUAUCGUCUACGCGCAAUAAGAGGCAAGCACUUUCAAUCGCGGUCUUAAUUGACUGUAAUUUGACGGCUUCAGGUUCCCAAACACCGUACUCAUGCAUGUCGACAACUCGACCAGUUUCCCCGUCAAUACCAAAGCUAUGUUGACCUUCCGCAUGUUUCGCGCGAAGUUCGGUAAGUGCUUUAAUUGGAUUGGCACCGCAAUUCUGAACUAAAGUACGAGGAAUGAUUUCAAUAGCAUCUGCAACAGCUCGGUAAGGCCAUUGGGCAACGCCCUCAAUAGAACGUGCCUUUUCCGCAAGACGAACACUGACAGCCAUCUCAGUAGCACCACCGCCAGGGGAAAGUUUAGGAUGGAAGAACACAUUUCUGGCUACAGCCAUAGCAUCCUGUAAAUUGCGCUCAACCUCAUUAAUAAUGUCUUUACUUGGUCCACGUAGUAAAAUAGUACAUGCCUUGGGAUUUUUACAGCCUGUUAAAAAGGUAUAAUACUCAUCACCUAAUUUAUCGAUGUAAAAUAAGCCACAGCCUGUACCUACAUCCUUCUCACGUAAAUCUUCAAGACGAUUAACGAUAUUGGCACCACACGCA